CAACGUCCGUGUACCAGGCCGUCUACCUUUUGGGCUGAGCCGUGGAACAAUUACGUCGGAGCGAACCUGAGCCGUUCUGGAAGCCUGCCGCCGGCACGGACGGCUGCCCUUCCCCAAGGCUGCGGGACGCUGCGGUUCCUCCGGCGGCCGGCGAUGCAAGAUGCUGGGCUUAAAUCCUUCUGGAUGCGGUCGACCAGUUUCCGGUGCGAGCGGAGUUCGCGGACAGCCUGGAACAUCCAGAUCCGGUGCCUCUUGCGGUGCUCCCGCGACGUGAUGUCACCCCUGCUACGCCGGCGGAUUCGAAUGCUGGCUCCGGGUGCAGGCAGCACGUUGGUUGCGCUAGCCCUGGGAGGACGCAGGGUGAAAAUCGGUGUCGACGGCCGGGCUCUCCGACGAGGUCUGCGCAGUCCACCCACAGGGUAAAUCCAGAGGCGCCGGGAUGGACCAAAAGGUUACAUCUUGGGAGUGCGCCACCGGACAGAACGCCGUGUCCAUAUCGGAUGAGUGCUUUAGAGCAGUCAAUUCGCAAGUAUGCCCCUGCUCCCCGCUCGUCGCAGUCCUGGCAUCCCGCUUGUCCUCACAUGCGUCGUCUUUCUGUCUCCGCCGGUGCCACCACUACUCGCUGCUCGUUGCUGCCAGUCGAGCAAGAUGUCCGGUGCUGCGGUGGACAAGCACAAGACGCCAACGGAGGAAGAGAAUAGGAAUCCGGCGUGGGAGGAUGAGGAGGACAAGGAUCAGGCGAGAAAGGAGGUGGUUAUAGGUCUGAUACUUAGCAUGAUUUAUUUUCAGUAUUCUCUGUAGUUUAUAAGCAGCAAAUGCCACCAGGGAAUGCUCCAUGUUGUAAGAAAAUUGUGAAUUCUGAACCUAGUCAAGUGCUUCUACUGCAAGGUACUAUAUAGGUACCUGAUA